GGUGCUGUGGCUCAAGUGGUAGAGCAUUAGCCUUGAGCUGAAGAGCUCAGGGACAGAGCUGGGAAGAUGGCUUAGUGGUAGUGGGUUUGAUUCCUCAGCACCA
rnacentral:tRNA from 1 species